rnacentral:misc_RNA from 1 species
GAUGAAGAACGUAGUGAAAUGCGAUAAGUAGUGUGAAUUGCAGAAUUCAGUGAAUCAUCGAAUCUUUGAACGCACAUUGCGCCCCUUGGUAUUCCAUGGGGCAUGCCUGUUCGAGCGUCAUUUGUACCUUCAAGCUCUGCUUGGUGUUGGGUGUUUGUCUCGCCUUGCGCGUAGACUCGCCUUAAAACAAUUGGCAGCCGGCGUAUUGAUUUCGGAGCGCAGUACAUCUCGCGCUUUGCACUCAUAACGACGACGUCCAAAAGUACUUUUUACACUCUUGACCUCGGAUCAGGUAGGGAUACCCGCUGAACUUAAGCAUAUCAAUAAGCGGAGGA